GGUCAAGUGAAGAAGCGCAUACGGUGGAUGCCUUGGCAGUCAGAGGCGAUGAAAGACGUGGUAGCCUGCGAAAAGCUUCGGGGAGUCGGCAAACAGACUUUGAUCCGGAGAUGUCUGAAUGGGGGAACCCAGCCAUCAUAAGAUGGUUAUCUUGUACUGAAUACAUAGGUGCAAGAGGCGAACCAGGGGAACUGAAACAUCUAAGUACCCUGAGGAAAAGAAAUCAACCGAGAUUCCCUUAGUAGUGGCGAGCGAACGGGGACUAGCCCUUAAGUGGCUUUGAGAUUAGCGGAACGCUCUGGAAAGUGCGGCCAUAGUGGGUGAUAGCCCUGUACGCGAAAGUCUCUUAGUCAUGAAAUCGAGUAGGACGGAGCACGAGAAACUUUGUCUGAAUAUGGGGGGACCAUCCUCCAAGGCUAAAUACUACUGACUGACCGAUAGUGAACUAGUACCGUGAGGGAAAGGCGAAAAGAACCCCGGAGAGGGGAGUGAAAUAGAUCCUGAAACCGUAUGCGUACAAGCAGUGGGAGCAGACUUUGUUCUGUGACUGCGUACCUUUUGUAUAAUGGGUCAGCGACUUAUAUUCAGUGGCGAGCUUAACCGAAUAGGGGAGGCGUAGCGAAAGCGAGUCUUAAUAGGGCGUUUAGUCGCUGGGUAUAGACCCGAAACCGGGCGAUCUAUCCAUGGGCAGGUUGAAGGUUAGGUAACACUGACUGGAGGACCGAACCGACUACCGUUGAAAAGUUAGCGGAUGACCUGUGGAUCGGAGUGAAAGGCUAAUCAAGCUCGGAGAUAGCUGGUUCUCCUCGAAAGCUAUUUAGGUAGCGCCUCAUGUAUCACUGUAGGGGGUAGAGCACUGUUUCGGCUAGGGGGUCAUCCCGACUUACCAAACCGAUGCAAACUCCGAAUACCUACAAGUGCCGAGCAUGGGAGACACACGGCGGGUGCUAACGUCCGUCGUGAAAAGGGAAACAACCCAGACCGUCAGCUAAGGUCCCAAAGUUAUGGUUAAGUGGGAAACGAUGUGGGAAGGCUUAGACAGCUAGGAGGUUGGCUUAGAAGCAGCCACCCUUUAAAGAAAGCGUAAUAGCUCACUAGUCGAGUCGGCCUGCGCGGAAGAUGUAACGGGGCUCAAACCAUACACCGAAGCUACGGGUAUCACGUAAGUGAUGCGGUAGAGGAGCGUUCUGUAAGCCUGUGAAGGUGAGUUGAGAAGCUUGCUGGAGGUAUCAGAAGUGCGAAUGCUGACAUGAGUAACGACAAUGGGUGUGAAAAACACCCACGCCGAAAGACCAAGGUUUCCUGCGCAACGUUAAUCGACGCAGGGUUAGUCGGUCCCUAAGGCGAGGCUGAAAAGCGUAGUCGAUGGAAAACAGGUUAAUAUUCCUGUACUUCUAGUUAUUGCGAUGGAGGGACGGAGAAGGCUAGGCCAGCUUGGCGUUGGUUGUCCAAGUUUAAGGUGGUAGGCUGGAAUCUUAGGUAAAUCCGGGGUUCCAAGGCCGAGAGCUGAUGACGAGUUACCUUUGGGUGACGAAGUGGUUGAUGCCAUGCUUCCAAGAAAAGCUUCUAAGCUUCAGAUAACUAGGAACCGUACCCCAAACCGACACAGGUGGUUGGGUAGAGAAUACCAAGGCGCUUGAGAGAACUCGGGUGAAGGAACUAGGCAAAAUGGCACCGUAACUUCGGGAGAAGGUGCGCCGGUGAGGGUGAAGGACUUGCUCCGUAAGCCCAUGCCGGUCGAAGAUACCAGGCCGCUGCGACUGUUUAUUAAAAACACAGCACUCUGCAAACACGAAAGUGGACGUAUAGGGUGUGACGCCUGCCCGGUGCCGGAAGGUUAAUUGAUGGGGUUAGCUAACGCGAAGCUCUUGAUCGAAGCCCCGGUAAACGGCGGCCGUAACUAUAACGGUCCUAAGGUAGCGAAAUUCCUUGUCGGGUAAGUUCCGACCUGCACGAAUGGCGUAACGAUGGCGGCGCUGUCUCCACCCGAGACUCAGUGAAAUUGAAAUCGCUGUGAAGAUGCAGUGUAUCCGCGGCUAGACGGAAAGACCCCGUGAACCUUUACUAUAGCUUUGCACUGGACUUUGAAUUUGCUUGUGUAGGAUAGGUGGGAGGCUUUGAAGCGUGGACGCCAGUUCGCGUGGAGCCAUCCUUGAAAUACCACCCUGGCAACUUUGAGGUUCUAACUCAGGUCCGUUAUCCGGAUCGAGGACAGUGUAUGGUGGGUAGUUUGACUGGGGCGGUCUCCUCCUAAAGAGUAACGGAGGAGUACGAAGGUGCGCUCAGACCGGUCGGAAAUCGGUCGUAGAGUAUAAAGGCAAAAGCGCGCUUGACUGCGAGACAGACACGUCGAGCAGGUACGAAAGUAGGUCUUAGUGAUCCGGUGGUUCUGUAUGGAAGGGCCAUCGCUCAACGGAUAAAAGGUACUCCGGGGAUAACAGGCUGAUACCGCCCAAGAGUUCAUAUCGACGGCGGUGUUUGGCACCUCGAUGUCGGCUCAUCACAUCCUGGGGCUGAAGCCGGUCCCAAGGGUAUGGCUGUUCGCCAUUUAAAGUGGUACGCGAGCUGGGUUUAGAACGUCGUGAGACAGUUCGGUCCCUAUCUGCCGUGGACGUUUGAGAUUUGAGAGGGGCUGCUCCUAGUACGAGAGGACCGGAGUGGACGAACCUCUGGUGUUCCGGUUGUCACGCCAGUGGCAUUGCCGGGUAGCUAUGUUCGGAAAAGAUAACCGCUGAAAGCAUCUAAGCGGGAAACUUGCCUCAAGAUGAGAUCUCACUGGAACCUUGAGUUCCCUGAAGGGCCGUCGAAGACUACGACGUUGAUAGGUUGGGUGUGUAAGCGCUGUGAGGCGUUGAGCUAACCAAUACUAAUUGCCCGUGAGGCUUGACCAUAU
rnacentral:rRNA from 1 species